UUGCCAUACAACUUGAUUGUUGUUGGUACUAAUCGCCGGGUUUGUCUCACAACUGGAAAAUUUUAUAUUUUCUCAGGACUGAGUAAGCUUGGUUAGAAUGUUAAUGUACUUGUGCGAAUCUAGUUAAAGGCUUCUCCAGUUCUCUUAUUGCUAGACUGUGCUGGUGUUUUGCUACUAGCCACAAAGUUUACAUUAGAUAAAAUUUUUCAAAACUGAAAAAUUAUUUAUCAUACUUG
rnacentral:misc_RNA from 1 species